GACGAACGCUGGCGGCGUGCCUAAUACAUGCAAGUUGAGCGCUGAAGGCUGGUACUUGUACCAACCGGGUGAGCAGCGAACGGGUGAGUAACGCGUGGGGAAUCUGCCUUUGAGCGGGGGACAACAUUUGGAAACGAAUGAUAAUACCGCAUAAAAACUUUAAACACAAGGUUGAAGUUUGAAAGAUGCAAUUGCAUCACUCAAAGAUGAUCCCGCGUUGUAUUAGCUAGUUGGUGAGGUAAAGGCGCACCAAGGCGAUGAUACAUAGCAGACGUGAGAGGGCGGUCGGCCGGCCUGGGAGGGUGACACGGCCCAUUCGCCUUCGGGAGGCAGCAGUAGUGAUUCGUCGGCAAUCGGCGGAAGACUGACCGCGCAACGCCGCGUGAGGGAAGAGGGUCUUCGGGUCGUAAAUGACUGUUGGUGGAGAGUAACGCUGGUGCGAGUGGAAAGCUCAGCAAGUGACGGUAACGACUAAGAAAGCGACGGCUAACUACGUG
rnacentral:rRNA from 1 species